GGACUAGACCGUGAGAGACAAGGCUUGUGGAGAUGGAUACCAGACAGAAGGAGAAAGAGAAGGAGAAAGAGGCGGCGCAAGGAGACCGCACGCCUAAGGUACGGGCUUGGACCGUGGUAAAGGAAAGUAACUGUGAGGACUCUAGCCGUAGGAAGAUGUGUGGUGAAUGGGUCAUUCCUAGUAGAUGUGAAGUAUUGAUAGCCUACUGCACAAACUGUGAACUUAUGAUAGACUAGUGUACAUCUUGUUUAGUAUGAACGAUUGAAUGAUGUAUGAAUCUCAGUUAUUAUUUAUGAAAUGUCAAUUUGCCUUACUUGAUUCUGAUUUUUAAGUGUGAUUGAAUAAACCUCAAAACUAUGAUAACUACUUAGAAACAUAUUACACUCGAAAUUGGAAGUAAAGGAAUCAAACCUAGUAGAAAUGGUUAGGUAAGCCGCGGUCUGGUUGGAAUGAGGAUUCCAGGAUCGGGUCUUACAUUCCCUGUACAAAUGAACAAUCAAGGCUAAAUACACUAGAGAAGUCUUAAUAUAUACAUAAAGAAAUGAUGAACAUACCUGAUGCUUGUUUGAGAUUAUUGUUAUAGCCUCGCCAUCGUCAAGAUCCAAGUCUUUUUUCAGUAGUUGCACAAACCAUAACCAAUUUGGAUUAUCCUCAACUUCUACCACAGCCCAAGUUAUUGGAAAAAUCCUAUAUAUUAUCCCCAUCCCUACCAACAGCAGCUAGCAUUUGACCUUUAAUGUCCCAUUUCAUAAAUGCAGCAUCCAAUCCUAUAAUGGGUCUACAUGAGCCUUUCCAUGACGUUUUCAAGGCUUCAAAACACAUAUACAAGCGGUGAAAUCUUUGUUUGCUUCAAGGAACCGGACCAGGAAUUGUAUCAGCAUCCAUUGUUGAUCCGACAUUAGAUUUACGUACCUCUUCAUGGUAAUCCCAAAGUCUUGCAAAGUGGAUUUCAUGACCCGCCUUUCUUCUGGCUGCAAGUGUUGCCUUUGCUCUUCUACAUUGUUCUUCGGUCACAGUCAUAUUAUACUCUCUCUUUAUUUCAUCAACCAUCUCCUUCGAUCUAAUUUUAGGAUUGAUUCGAAGUCUCUCCUCAAAUAAUUGUGCUAUUGUUCCACACUUAAGCAGCUUCGUAUAACCAGACCUAACACAAAUAUGUGUGUUCAAAAAUACUUUCACCAUCAGCUUGUUCCUGCCUUUUUCGAAAGAAAUGUACACUCUCCAACCACAUUUUUCUUUUUCAUGUUGUGUGCACCGAAUUCCAAGCCUAUCAGCUGAGGACUUAUAGAACUUUAUGUCGUAUUGUGUCUUGAGAGAAUACUUGAGAACAGCAAACUUAAACUCAUCAGCGUUAUCAAACUAGAUACUGAACUAGUUAUGGUACUUAGUUGGAAGCUACAAUACUAUUUGAAAUUCAAAUAUUUUGUUUUGCAAGCAAUAGAUGAAUGGUAAAUUGUCAAUAAAAAUUUACGGCCAUGUAAAAUUCAAUAUGAUGCACAUUAUACAGAUGAAGAAUCAAUAAAUCAUGUCCUAUUUGAAUGCCCACUAAUGAUUUUUAAUUUCUUGAUCUUCGCAAACACGAAUUACUUAUUUUGGAAAAUUUCAAAAGAUUAUGAUUUCACCUAUUUUUUGUGAAUAAUGUUGUAUAUUAGGAAGAAUAUAAAUGAUAAGGUUUAUAAGAAUCAAAAUGUAACUCACAAGAUAUUUUGUAUAUAGUGAAAAUUGAAGGUGACUUGUGGGCUGAGAUUUACAAGUUAACAACUUAAAACUUCAGAGGAGAAUUAAGUAUGCUAUUCAAUCGAGCCAACAAUUGGAAGAUAUGAGAUGAUGUUAUGUGGAUGGAGCUUGGAGAGAACAAUGCAUUUUUAAGGGUUAAGGAUGGUUUUUCAGCACAUGUUCACUCGGCCGGCAAAAGUAUGUGGGUCAUGAAUAUCUGACUAAGCCUAUCACUUUUACAUGCGGAAUUUGAACUUUUGAUUUGGUCGAUAAAAUGCAUAAAGAUCCUAUAGUUCUUUUGAGGUGGUGUUCGCAACAAACUCUUCUUAGCUAGUGAAGAUAAUAUUUACACUAACAUAAUAAUUAGGUUUCACUUUGGGCUUGGAUGAAUUUCAAUGAUGUAAGGAUUUUUCAAACUUUGUAAUCCAACAUAUUCCAAGAGCAAAUCUUUAUAUAUAAAGUAAGCUUUGGAUCCCUCCUGAUGAUGCCAACAAGGACGCCACGUCAUCAAUUCGCGGGCUCCUGUUGCGACACGUCAGAAACGCACCAUUUCAUUAAAGCCUGAUUCUAUUGAUACGGGCUUGGCGUUUGGGCUUCAUGUGCCGACGACCACAAUCUUCUGCUGGAACCCUAAUCAGCCUCUACGCUCUCCUUCGAUCGGCGCAGAUGCGAUCAAGCAUCUGUAACGGUUCUUCGAUAAUUAAUGGUCUUAAAUCGUCUUUAAUCACCAUCCCACUACGAAGCUCCCUCUCCUGCGCUGUUCGCCGUCUUUGCCACCAUUGACUUUUAGGGUUCUUCCUGUUCUUCGAGCUCUGAGUAGAUAAACCGACAUAUGUGAGACAAAUCGUUAUGACGAAUCUCUAGAUCAAGCUGUCAGACGCGUCGUUUCUUCCGGUAAACAUCAUCCUCACAAGUCUUAAUAACGCUUGAAACUUCUUUUUCGUUGGAAUGUCGAACUCAUCUAUCCUCCUCGCUGUUGUUUAGAAUCAAUCUAGAUCUGAAACUCUCAAGCGUCUCCUCACAGGUUGUUUUGCCUCUUCAAUUAUCUCAUAAUCUUCAGUUUGAUCUCUGUUUCAAUAUUUGAUCUCUGUUUCAAUAGAUUUAACGAUUGAAGAAACACUCGAUGAUGUUUUAUGGACAGUUUUGUUUUUAUCACAUAACCCAAGCUGCAAGCUUGUGUUUUUGUUUGCAUCUUUUGCAGUUACCAUCACGUAUCUCCUCUUGGGUUAUAUGCUUAGAUGGGUUCUUCUCUUGCAGAUUUUGAAGGCUUUAAGAUCACAUGAGAGCCUGAGGUUGUGAUUGCACCAAGUUAGCAGCUUUACAUGAUCGAUGUAUCUGUUCUUUAAACAUGGGAGAUUGUGUCAUCGGAGCUUUCAUCAGUAUUCUUGAAAGCGUUGCUAUUAAUUUUGGAACAAACCACAUAAUAAAAGAAAGAAGUUAGCUUUACAUGCAAGAUAAUGGUCGAGAAAAGACGUCAUUGAAGCCUCUUAUACAGUUCAGACAUGGAUAGUUGAUGCAACUGUUGAUCAAUAGAAAAUGCCAGAAAAAAAAUAAAAAUAUAAAGGAUGAAAGGAAGGAUACAACCGGCAGUAUGUGUGACAUGCUUACCUACUACCUAGAAGAAUGGUCUCUUCUCGACAGAGAUCAUUCAAAUUCUUUGUAAAGAGCAACUGAAGCCUCGCAAGCCAGCAUGCUUCGUUUUCCAAUUAUUGAAAAAGCUGUGGUUGAUAUUCUAUCCCAAGCAUAUUGUUAGUUCAGCUGUUGAUGUCGCGGUCUGGCGUCUUCCAUAUUCUCGCCGAUAUCCAAGGUAGAUGAAAUGAAUUCAGUAAUGGCGGAAAUGAUGAAUAUCACUGCACAAGAAGCAGUCUUGCGCAGGUUAAAGAGUAACAGCUAUGCAGGUUAAAGAGUCAUCUCUCUGCUCUCGGCUUUUUUUCUUCCCUUUUACAUUUUUCUUCUUGAUCAAGCUUUUAUAAGAAAAUCAAUUCGUCUUGAUAUGUUAAGGACUGUAGCAUGAAUACGCACAUAAUACAACUACGCUGGAAACUGACUUCACAACUGUAGAAACUGAUGGGUUUUCCAUGACUUUUGAUGUUCUAAGAUUUGUUUCAAGUUUCUCAA